AAGUCCCCCUAUACCACCUUGUUUACCCAGGAUGGCCCUGUCUAUUUGGGGAGGGGGCUACAGAAGGACAGGAACACUCAUUAUUAGCUACUUUUCUUGUUGAUGACUAAAUAUCUGACAAGAAAUGAUUUAAGGACUCAGGAUGUAUCGUGGUUGAGUUCUGGGUUCAGCUCCAAGGACUACAAAAAAUGAACAUGGUGGUUGCUGGGCAAGUGUGAAGACCCAAGCGAGUGUGGAUUGCCAGCCAGCACCCACUCAGAGCUGAGCCAGAGAGCAUGUCUCCAGUCCCUAAGGCAAGUUGUGAGGUAAAGACGGGAGAGUCCACGGAGGCUGAGAAGCCAGCUAGCCUGUGGGCACUGCAGUGGACAGGAGACCCUGUCUCAGGCAAGGUACAAGGACAGGAGACUACUUAACAGAUGAGAGACCCUUCAAUGGCGCCUAGAACGCAGCAAGAGACCAGGAAGCCAGGAACCAGCAGAGCUGCCGUGGUUGCAUAUCUCCGUAAACCCAACAUUUGGGAGGCCACAUGGAAAAACCACCCAGGGUUCAAGAACUGACAGGGCUACACAGUGAGUUCCAGACCAGCGUGGGCUAUAUAAAUAGUGAUAUCCUGUCUCCGAAACCAAGCCAGGCUUCCUGACUGCUGAUGCAACAUGUCCAGUUGCCUCCACCCCUGCCUUACCCACCGCGACGGGCCAUACCCUUGAACUGAAAGCUGACAACGCAUGUUAAUGGAGUUCUAAAUGAAGAAAACACCACGAGAAAUGACCUCAUAAUGGAGAGAACUCUACAGCUUUGAAAGAAGCACACUUUUCACGCAGUCCAUUUCACGACCCAUAGCAGACCUCCUGGGAGCCUGGGGCAAAGUCAGCUAUCGCUGGAGGUAACCACAAAGGGAAUAAAAUGUAUGUGACAUAAACUACCACAAGGAGGACAUAGCAGCUGCAAUGACAAAAGAAUUAACGUCUUAGGGGUGGAAGCAGAACAAAAUGUCCUAAAAGGAAUAUGGGCUUUUCUUUUUCAUAAAAUAAAAAGAUUUUGAAAAUUUGCUCAUGGAUAACAAAAAAGAACAUGGGAAAAGGCAUGGAGGCGCAAAUCUCUCUGGAAACAAGAUCUGGAAACAAGUUGAAGGCUCUUGGUUUUAGCCUCCCCUUGGGAACUUGCUGUGCUUCCCCUGGCAAAUUAACCAUGAUAUCUGUCUGUCCCAGGAGGGGCUGAAAGCCUUCCCCAACCCCAGCUCCUCCACUGUGUAAAACAAAUGAGUUGGGAGUCCCGUGAUCCACUCCCUUCUUAGAAAGCCAGGACAGUACUUGUUAUUCUUUUUUAAAAUCUU
rnacentral:lncRNA from 1 species